UGCGGGUGCUGUCGGUGAUCGCGGCCGGCUCUGUGACUGCGCCCCUGAGGGGUCCUGAAAUCCUCGUUCUAGAACCGAAGUCUGUCCUCAGGUUUUAUAGACCUGCCGUGUUGAAAAGGAGGAAAAUUACCAGCGUUUCCAAAGUGGAAGCAGUGACCGUUCAGGUGCCGAGGCUGACGCGAGAGGGACGCUCUUGGCAUGGAGUCCAGUCCGCCCAGAACAAGGAAUUCGGGGCCCACUGCUAACUUGGAAGAGACAAAGCCAGGAUAGGUGUCCAGGUGCUUUAUUUGAAUCUGCUUCUGAAGGUAACAGGAAUCUUCAGAUAAACAGACAGACAGACACAGACAGAAUGUAUGACAACACAACUUAAGAAUAAAAGGUCUCCGUGGCAAACAAAUGAAGAUGACAUGUGGAACUACAGCCUGGAGUUACACUUUAUUACUUUAACAAUACUUACACAAAUAAAAAAAUUUUUUUAACCGUCAGGACUAUGAGGGCACUACUACCUACUUUGGUUUCAGCAAAAACAUCAAUAUGAAUUAUUAUUUUCAAACACAUUUCAUAUUUUAAUGUGGAUGUUGCUCAUCAAAUUAUCAUUGCAAAUAAACCCUCUCUAGGUUAAUGCUACAAUACU